UUAAGUGACUAAGCGUACACGGUGGAUGCCUUGGCAAUCAGAGGCGAAGAAGGACGUGCUAAUCUGCGAAAAGCGUGGGGGAGCUGAUAAGGAGCGCUAAUCCCACGAUAUCCGAAUGGGGAAACCCGAUAGAUGAAGAAUCUAUCAUUGUUGUCUGAAUUCAUAGGGCAACAAGGCAAACCGGGAGAACUGAAACAUCUAAGUACCCCGAGGAAAAGAAAUCAACCGAGAUUCUGCGAGUAGCGGCGAGCGAAAGCGGAGGAGCCAGCGAGUGAUAGCAUAAGUUUUAGGAGAAUUGUCUGGGAAGGCAAGCGAGAGAGGGUGACAGCCCCGUAUCCGAAAAGACGGAUGUGGUACUAAGCACGCGAGAAGUAGGGCGGGACACGAGGAAUCCUGUUUGAAGAAGGGGGGACCAUCCUCCAAGGCUAAAUACUCCUGAUUGACCGAUAGUGGACCAGUACCGUGAGGGAAAGGCGAAAAGAACCCCGGGAGGGGAGUGAAAGAGAACCUGAAACCGUGUACGUACAAGCAGUGGGAGCCUGUAAGGGUGACUGCGUACCUUUUGUAUAAUGGGUCAGCGACUUAUAUUUUGUAGCGAGGUUAACCGGAUAGGGGAGCCGAAGGGAAACCGAGUCUUAACUGGGCGGUUAGUUGCAAGAUAUAGACCCGAAACCCGGUGAUCUAGCCAUGGGCAGGAAGAAGGUUGGGUAACACUAACUGGAGGGCCGAACCGACUACUGUUGAAAAAGUAGCGGAUGACCUGUGGCUGGGGGUGAAAGGCCAAUCAAACCGGGAGAUAGCUGGUUCUCCCCGAAAUCUAUUUAGGUAGAGCCUUAUAUGAAUACCUUCGGGGGUAGAGCACUGUUUCGGCUAGGGGUCCAUCCCGGAUUACCAACCCGAUGCAAACUGCGAAUACCGAAGAGUAAUGUAUAGGAGACACACGGCGGGUGCUAACGUUCGUCGUGGAGAGGGAAACAACCCAGACCGCCAGCUAAGGUCCCAAAGUCUAUAUUAAGUGGGAAACGAAGUGGAAAGGCUUAGACAGCUAGGAUGUUGGCUUAGAAGCAGCCAUCAUUUAAAGAAAGCGUAAUAGCUCACUAGUCGAGUCGGUCUGCGCGGAAGAUGUAACGGGGCUAAAAUAUAGCACCGAAGCUGCGGCAUCAGGCGUAUCACACAUACGCCUUACGAUUAACACCUUGCGAAGCAAGGUGGUCAAGCGACUUACACGUUGAGGUGUGAGCGGGAGGGAUAAUCGAAGAGAGGAAUAUGUGUGAUACGUCUGUUGGGUAGGGGAGCGUUGUGUAAGCUGAAGAAGGUGGUUCGAGAGGGCUGCUGGAGGUAUCACAAGUGCGAAUGCUGACAUAAGUAACGAUAAAGCGGGUGAAAGGCCCGCUCGCCGGAAGACCAAGGUUUCCUGUCCAACGUUAAUCGGGGCAGGGUGAGUCGGCCCCUAAGGCGAGGCUGAGAAGCGUAGUCGAUGGGAAAUGGGUUAAUAUUCCCAUACUUGGAUAAACUGCGAUGUGGGGACGGAGCAGGUUAGGUUAGCGUACGGAUGGAAGAGUACGUUUAAGUUGGUAGGUGGGGUGUUUAGGCAAAUCCGGGCACCUGAUAACACUGAGAGAUGAUGACGAGGCUCUACGGAGCUGAAGUAACUGAUACCCAACUUCCAGGAAAAGCCACUAAGCGAGAGGUUUAUCUAAACCGUACUGGAAACCGACACAGGUGGUCAGGUAGAGAAUACUAAGGCGCUUGAGAGAACUCGGGUGAAGGAACUAGGCAAAAUAGCACCGUAACUUCGGGAGAAGGUGCGCUGGCGUAGUGUGAAGUUCUUCGCGAAUGGAGCACGAACCAGUCGAAGCGACGAGCUGGCUGCAACUGUUUAAUAAAAACACAGCACUCUGCAAACACGAAAGUGGACGUAUAGGGUGUGAUGCCUGCCCGGUGCUGGAAGGUUAAUUGAUGGUGUCAUCGAAAGAGAAGCACCUGAUCGAAGCCCCAGUAAACGGCGGCCGUAACUAUAACGGUCCUAAGGUAGCGAAAUUCCUUGUCGGGUAAGUUCCGACCUGCACGAAUGGCAUAAUGAUGGCCAGGCUGUCUCCACCCGAGACUCAGUGAAAUUGAAAUCGCCGUGAAGAUGCGGUGUACCCGCGGCUAGACGGAAAGACCCCGUGAACCUUUACUAUAGCUUGACACUGAACCUUGAAUUUUAAUGUGUAGGAUAGGUGGGAGACUAAGAAGCGGUAACGCCAGUUAUCGUGGAGUCGGUGUUGAAAUACCACCCUUUAACGUUUGAUGUUCUAACGAGGCGCCUGGGACAGGUGUUCGGACAGUGUCUGGUGGGUAGUUUGACUGGGGCGGUCUCCUCCCAAAGCGUAACGGAGGAGCACGAAGGUUGGCUAAUGACGGUCGGACAUCGUCAGGUUAGUGCAAUGGUAGAAGCCAGCUUAACUGCGAGACGGACAAGUCGAGCAGGUACGAAAGUAGGUCAUAGUGAUCCGGUGGUUCUGAAUGGAAGGGCCAUCGCUCAACGGAUAAAAGGUACUCCGGGGAUAACAGGCUGAUACCGCCCAAGAGUUCAUAUCGACGGCGGUGUUUGGCACCUCGAUGUCGGCUCAUCACAUCCUGGGGCUGAAGUAGGUCCCAAGGGUAUGGCUGUUCGCCAUUUAAAGUGGUACGCGAGCUGGGUUUAGAACGUCGUGAGACAGUUCGGUCCCUAUCUGCCGUGGGCGUUGGAGGAUUGAGGGGGGUUGCUCCUAGUACGAGAGGACCGGAGUGAACGCACCGCUGGUGUUCCAGUUGUUUCGCCAGAAGCAUAGCUGGGUAGCUAAGUGCGGAAGAGAUAAGUGCUGAAAGCAUCUAAGCACGAAACUUGCCCCGAGAUGAGUUCUCCCUGACAUAGAGUCAGUAAGGGUUGUUGAAGACGACGACGUAGAUAGGUGGGGUGUGUAAGCGGUGUGAGCCGUUGAGCUAACCCAUACUAAUUGCCCGAGAGGCUUAACUAU
rnacentral:rRNA from 1 species